UAGUGCUACUCACACAUUAGUAGACUAGCUAAUUUGACUAGAGCUAAUUGGUCCAUAGAACCCACGCACCAACUAGCCUGAUGGUUUGGUUCACAUGGUCGCACACACGCUGGGCUGGACCAUCGCCAGCAUACACACGCACGCACACUCGCGCUCCUCUUCCUCUGGUUUUUCCCUUUUCCUUUCUCACGCAACGCAGUCGCCACCGCCGCUGGGCGCGCUCCGGCCAAUGCCGGCCGCCUCCGGCGUCGCUGCUAGACGCCACAGCUCUGCCCCGGCAUCCUCUCCUCGUCGCCUUCACCAACAACCCCCUCUCCUUGAUGCCUCUAUCGCCUGUACUCGCCUCCGGGAACCCUAGCUACUGCCGGUCGAUUUGGAUGUCGCCGGGCAUCUCCGGCGCCGCCACACACCGUCGAGGCUCCUCCUCCAUCCCUCUCACGGACCCCCUGCAACCGCUACCUGGUCCGGUGCGCGCGUAUUCUGGCUAACCCUAGCCCCUGUCAUUGUCGCCGGCGGACACCGGCGCCGCCGCGCAUACGCCCGACACGGUCGACCUCCGCUCUCUCCUCAUUUUCGUGACGCCGCCAGCCGCUCCCACGCUCCUGGCUAGCCGUAGCUAUGGAUUUGACUUGGUUGCUAGCGCGAUGCCGCGCGCCCGCGUGUCUGGUUCUGCACUUUCUCGGCGAGCUCUGGAUGACCCUCUCGAUGGCCUUAGUGUCUACCACGAGCCCCAGCUCAAUCUUGUCAUCUCGGUGUUGUAUGGUUUUGUGGUGGUAAUUGCUGCUAUGGUGGUGAUGGGGUUCUGCAGUACUGCUGCUUUGAUGCCUAUUUCAGCUGCGACCUCGACGCCGGCGGGACGGUGCCAUGGACGCAACCCCGGCUUGAUGGUGCCGUGGACGCAACCCUGGCGUCGCCUACCUCGCUACUUCAUAGUUGAUUGUGUAGCAAGUACAUGACGGGCUAACUGCUGCUGCUACUUGGGUUACUUGGUUGGCCUGGGAAUAAUUCUUGGACCCUAAGUAAACUCUUGUAACAUGUUGAUAUAUUAAGGCUUCUUAUGGUAAUGACUAAAUAAUGUGUAUAUAUGACCCUGGAUAGUGGUUGUGUUGGAAUGCACAAAGUGAUGCUUUGCUUGUUUCUUGAAUAUGAUCUAGUUGUGGAUUAGCAACUAGAAAUGAUUUAUUUUGCAAGGUUGGGUUUUAUUGAUGGAUCUUGUUGUCCCUUAUUUGAUAGUUAUAAACUGAUAAGAACAGAUUUGACUUGAUCUUGUAGCCUUGCCAAUGAUGCUUAGGCUGAGGCACAAACUUGUGAUAAGAACAGAUGCUUUUAUGUGGCUUUUAAUUUCUCGGUGAUGAUAUUGGUAUAGCACUUCUAUACCGUUCUGAUAGAAAUAAUCCCUCCUAACUCUCCUAGACCAGAUCUAGUUGCAGGGUAGUUGGAUGGGGUUACUUGUAUACUUCUAUUACUUCCUCGAUGAUGUGUAUGCAAAUCUAAGAACAAAUACUGUAAGAUCUAGCCUAUGAGUUGCUACCUGCCUUGGUAGCUUGAUCUUCUUGAUGCUGAAAUGAACCUCCCCUUGUGGCAUGCCUUCUCCACUCUCUGCUUCUACUUCUUCCUAGUUACAACUGCUGAUUCUAGUGGUCGAUCUGGAGUUGUUCUAGUGGUUCAGCUGGUGUAGUUCUUGGUGUUCUUUAUGUGCUCAGAGAGUUGUUGGCGGAUUUGGGAAACAUGAGGUUCGGCUGGGAAUGUUGUGUGUGCUAGAAACUGUUGCUGGUACAUGUGUUGUUUAUAUAGGCUGGUACUUUGCAUGUGAGGUUGACAACACACAGAUGCAUGGCAUGCGUGUAGCUGCUGGGUACAUGGGCAAGUUUUAAU